rnacentral:sRNA from 1 species
GUGUUUACAUGUUGAUAAUGUCAUGAACAGAAUGUUUUCUACUUUGCUUAAGUAAGAGUGUGCUCUUGUUGUGUGUCACUGCUGUAUUCUCUGUCAGUUCCUAUUUGUCACUGUUAGGUUUUAUUCAGUAGUAAAGAGUGGCAGUAAACUCAGAUAUAAACUUACAAAACUUCAUACUGGGUUUGUUUGUAUAUGUGCGAUCCUAGAGAGCCUCAAUACAUAAAUAAUUUUUUUCAAGAAUUACUGGUUCAAGAUAGCCGCAGUGCACAAGAUGGGGGUUGACAAAUCGUCUGCGAAUGGAGAGACGGGAAGACUCAAAACGGAACCGGAAGUGAACAAUGGUUCCAACCAGAAGCAGACGACGGAUAGAAAACGUGUCACCACUGCAUCCGCCCAUGAAAAGUCAUUGGAUAUUCUGUAUACUGUGGACCAGGUGCCGCCAUGGUAUUUGUGUAUUUUUCUAGGAUUCCAGGUACAUGAACGUUUUAUUGUAUUGUUACGAUCUUCUCUAUCAG